rnacentral:rRNA from 1 species
GAUGAACGCUGGCGGCGUGCCUAAUACAUGCAAGUCGAGCGAACAGACGAGGAGCUUGCUCCUCUGACGUUAGCGGCGGACGGGUGAGUAACACGUGGAUAACCUACCUAUAAGACUGGGAUAACUUCGUGAAACCGGAGCUAAUACCGGAUAAUAUAUUGAACCGCAUGGUUCAAUAGUGAAAGACGGUUUUGCUGUCACUUAUAGAUGGAUCCGCGCCGCAUUAGCUAGUUGGUAAGGUAACGGCUUACCAAGGCAACGAUGCGUAGCCGACCUGAGAGAGUGAUCGGCCACACGGGAACUGAGACACGGUCCAGACUCCUACGGGAGGCAGCAGUAGGGAAUCUUCCGAAAUGGGCGAAAGCCUGACGGAGCAACGCCGCGUGAGUGAUGAAGGUCUUCGGAUCGUAAAACUCUGUUAUUAGGGAAGAACAAAUGUGUAAGUAACUAUGCACGUCUUGACGGUACCUAAUCAGAAAGCCACGGCUAACUACGUG